GCUCGCAUGGCUUAGAUGGUAAAGCGCAGCACUAGUAAUGCUGAGAUCCUCGGUUCGAGUCCGAGUGUGAGCA
rfam:Aspergillus aculeatus ATCC 16872 unplaced genomic scaffold ASPACscaffold_1, whole genome shotgun sequence.